rnacentral:misc_RNA from 1 species
UACGUAGGGAGCAAGCGUUGUCCGGAAUCAUUGGGCGUAAAGGGCGCGUAGGCGGCCUGCUAAGUCAAGUGUGAAAAUCAACGGCUCAACCGUUGAACUGCGCUUGAAACUGGUGGGCUAGAGAUCAGGAGAGGAAAGUGGAAUUCCUAGUGUAGCGGUGAAAUGCGUAGAUAUUAGGAAGAACAUCUAUGGCGAAGGCAGCUUUCUGGACUGACACUGACGCUGAGGCGCGAAAGCGUGGGGAGCAAACAGG